UACGUAGGGCGCAAGCGUUGUCCGGAAUUAUUGGGCGUAAAGAGCUCGUAGGCGGCUUGUCGCGUCGAUUGUGAAAGCCCGGGGCUUAACCUCGGGUCUGCAGUCGAUACGGGCUGGCUAGAGUGUGGUAGGGGAGAUCGGAAUUCCUGGUGUAGCGGUGGAAUGCGCAGAUAUCAGGAGGAACACCGAUGGCGAAGGCAGAUCUCUGGGCCGUAACUGACGCUGAGGAGCGAAAGCAUGGGGAGCGAACAGG
rnacentral:rRNA from 1 species